GAGACCCUGUCUCUAAAAACAAACAAACAAAAAAGCCAGGCGUGAUGGCUCACACCUGUGAUCCCAGCACUUUGGGUGGCUGAGGUGGGUGGAUCACUUGAGCUCAGGAGUUUGAGACCAGACGUCUCUACAUAAAAGACAAAAAUUAGCUCGGUGUAGUGGCUCACGUCUGUAGUCCAAGCUACUUGGGAGGCUGUGGUGGUAGGAUCACUUGAGCCCAGGAGGCAGAAGUUGCAGUGAGCUGAGAUUGUGCCACUGCACUCCAGCCUGGACGACAGAACAAGACCCUGUUU
rnacentral:sRNA from 1 species